GAGCGUAUAGCUUAAGUGGUAGAGCACAUGCUUGACAUGCAUGAGGUCCCAGGUUCAACCCCCAGCACCUCCU
rfam:Camelus ferus unplaced genomic scaffold scaffold801, whole genome shotgun sequence.